rnacentral:piRNA from 1 species
UCUUGGAAGUUAGGCGACUGCACAGGGAA